AAGCAGAAACAUGAGGAAAACUGCACUGAGGAGAAUGCAGAGAGUGCACACGGUGGGCACGACAAUCUCUGUGACCAUCUCCAUGUGGCUGAUCAGUGGAUCUGGAGAAAAACAUGUCACUAGAUCAUUGCCGGCUGUGCUGCCCAGUGGGGAGAGAAGUCAGCAACAGUUACACUAACCUGCCGCAAGGAGCUGGUUACUUGAGGUGCAUGUUUCCAGUGCCUUUCUUUUCCAGCUUUCAAUCUGUGAUAAACAUUAUACAAUUUAAAUUCAUAAGAAGUAAACUGAGACAUAAUAUAAAGACAUAGUAUAUAUUUAUCACACAGAUUGCACAAAAAAUGCUAAGACUCUUGUACAAUUUGACUCAAAAGAUUAAAUAAAAAAUUAAUUUAGCAUCAUAUUUUAAUUCUAAACUCAAUGAA